AGAGUUUGAUCAUGGCUCAGGACGAACGCUGGCGGCGUGCCUAACACAUGCAAGUAGAACGCUGAAGAGAGGAGCUUGCUCUUCUUGGAUGAGUUGCGAACGGGUGAGUAACGCGUAGGUAACCUGCCUUGUAGCGGGGGAUAACUAUUGGAAACGAUAGCUAAUACCGCAUAACAAUGGAUGACACAUGUCAUUUAUUUGAAAGGGGCAAUUGUUCCACUACAAGAUGGACCUGCGUUGUAUUAGCUAGUAGGUGAGGUAAUGGCUCACCUAGGCGACGAUACAUAGCCGACCUGAGAGGGUGAUCGGCCACACUGGGACUGAGACACGGCCCAGACUCCUACGGGAGGCAGCAGUAGGGAAUCUUCGGCAAUGGGGGCAACCCUGACCGAGCAACGCCGCGUGAGUGAAGAAGGUUUUCGGAUCGUAAAGCUCUGUUGUAAGUCAAGAACGGGUGUGAGAGUGGAAAGUUCACACUGUGACGGUAGCUUACCAGAAAGGGACGGCUAACUACGUGCCAGCAGCCGCGGUAAUACGUAGGUCCCGAGCGUUGUCCGGAUUUAUUGGGCGUAAAGCGAGCGCAGGCGGUUUGAUAAGUCUGAAGUUAAAGGCUGUGGCUCAACCAUAGUUCGCUUUGGAAACUGUCAAACUUGAGUGCAGAAGGGGAGAGUGGAAUUCCAUGUGUAGCGGUGAAAUGCGUAGAUAUAUGGAGGAACACCGGUGGCGAAAGCGGCUCUCUGGUCUGUAACUGACGCUGAGGCUCGAAAGCGUGGGGAGCGAACAGGAUUAGAUACCCUGGUAGUCCACGCCGUAAACGAUGAGUGCUAGGUGUUGGAUCCUUUCCGGGAUUCAGUGCCGCAGCUAACGCAUUAAGCACUCCGCCUGGGGAGUACGACCGCAAGGUUGAAACUCAAAGGAAUUGACGGGGGCCCGCACAAGCGGUGGAGCAUGUGGUUUAAUUCGAAGCAACGCGAAGAACCUUACCAGGUCUUGACAUCCCGAUGCUAUUUCUAGAGAUAGAAAGUUACUUCGGUACAUCGGUGACAGGUGGUGCAUGGUUGUCGUCAGCUCGUGUCGUGAGAUGUUGGGUUAAGUCCCGCAACGAGCGCAACCCCUAUUGUUAGUUGCCAUCAUUCAGUUGGGCACUCUAGCGAGACUGCCGGUAAUAAACCGGAGGAAGGUGGGGAUGACGUCAAAUCAUCAUGACCCUUAUGACCUGGGCUACACACGUGCUACAAUGGUUGGUACAACGAGUUGCGAGUCGGUGACGGCGAGCUAAUCUCUUAAAGCCAAUCUCAGUUCGGAUUGUAGGCUGCAACUCGCCUACAUGAAGUCGGAAUCGCUAGUAAUCGCGGAUCAGCACGCCGCGGUGAAUACGUUCCCGGGCCUUGUACACACCGCCCGUCACACCACGAGAGUUUGUAACACCCGAAGUCGGUGAGGUAACCUUUUGGAGCCAGCCGCCUAAGGUGGGACAGAUGAUUGGGGUGAAGUCGUAACAAGGUA
rnacentral:rRNA from 1 species